rnacentral:lncRNA from 1 species
GGAAAUCUUAGAGAUUCCAAGCCUGAGAAGGACUCAACCCACAAUUACUGGCUUUGAGGAUGGAGCAAGGGGGCAAUGAGCCAAGGAAUACAGCCGGAAAACCAUUGGUACUUGCCCCAGGUAGGAGGAGGAGCAGAGAACAGAAGGUUUCUGUGGAGCUGCGUUAAUCACCAAGGAGAGGCAGAUGGCUCCAAGCCCACAGAGUGUGACCCAGCAUACCCACAACAGCCUGAUCUGCAAAUCAACAGUGUAAAGAGCUCAAAUCCAGAGGCUGAAGGCUUAUUGUGUUGACUUUCUCAUCCUAGAGGUCACUGAAUGCAGAACUUGGGAACUUCUGGACUUCCUAUGCAACAGCUUGCUUAAACCUGGAAGGGACCCCUGGCUGGGAAUAGUCACAUUUAUCAAAUGGUUAAUAGAUCUUCUACUGGGUUAAAAGCUUUACAUUCGAAAUCAUCCUAUCUUCACAAAAAAAUCUCUCUGAAGUAGUUAUUGGCACCUCUGCUGUGUUAGUAAGGAAACGAAGUUCAGCAGAAGAUACGAUUUUACUCAAGAUGACACAGCUGGCAAGUAGUCAAGUCUGAAUCCUUUUCUAAUAUUAAUUUAUGGUUAUAAAUUUCUCUUUAAGCACAACUUUAAUUACACAUAAUAAAUUUAAUGUGUCAUAUUUUCAUUAUCAUUAGUUCAAAAUGCUUUCUAAUUUCCAUUAUGUUUUUUUCACUAAUCUGUAGGUUAUUUUGAAGUAUAUUUUAAACUUCCAGGUGGGUGAGAUUUUCACUUAUCUGUUAGUUAUUAAUUCUACCUUACUUGAACUGUGGUUAGAAAACAUUUUUAUGAAUACUAUUAAACUUAGAAAUGUGUAAGACUUGCUUAUGGCUUUCAAUUUUUGUAAAUAUCUGUUUAUACUUGAAAAGAAUGUGUAUUCUGAAGUUCUUAGGUGUCCUCUGUGUGUCAGUUAAAUCAAAUUAUUUGUUGUGCUGUUCAGAUCUUCAAUAUCUUUAGUAAGAUAUUGCUAAGAUUCUACUAAGAUGGUGGAUUUGUCCAUUUUCUCUUUUAGUUUGGUCAUUUUUUUGCCUUAUAUAUUUUGAUGCUAUGUUACUAAGGGUAUAUGAAUUAUAUUUGUUAUAUAUGUCUAUGGACUGAAACUUUUAUGUUUUUAAAGUAUCCCUCUUGCACCCUUUUCAGUAAAUGGCAUGGGGAAAAUCUGAUUGCCACAGACAGAAGAAUGAAACUGGAUGCCUAUUUCUCACAAUACACAAAAGCGAUUCAAGAUUAAAGACUUAACUAUACCUUGACUAUGAAUAAUAGUUUCAAUAAGGAAGACAGAAUGAGUUCUGACACGAUGGUUGGGAGCUGUGACAGGCAGACGAAAAAUGGAGCCAAAUGGCAUGGAGGUGUGUCAUCACUGCUGGAUUUUACCUUGAUCUACAUUCAGUUAUCUACUUCUUUUCAAAAUGCUGGGCAUUCAUUCAAGAAACAGCAUAUAUGUUCUGACUUUGAAGUAAUGGAUGAACUGUCAUGUGCAGUAUAUGGAAAUAAGUUUUAUUACCUUCUUCCCACAUUAACUCAUCCAUCCAUUCAAUAGCCAUUUAUUGAGAAGCUCACUCUGUGUUAGGCACAGUGGUGUCAUGAUGUUGGAACAGUAACAAUAACUCAACCAACCAGGGCUUGUCUGAAUACAAUCCUACAGCAGCAGGAGCUGUGGAGAUAUAGAAGGCAAGGAAGACCAGGUUGUGAGGGAAGACGAAUUUACUCCCAGGAAUGUUGGGAUUGAGAGUAAUAUUCUCCAAUAAUGGUGGAAGACAGAACAAUAAAAGCCCACCAGCUCCUUCUGCAUGGUGGGAUAAGAGAAAAGCCAAGGGCAGAAGUGAGAAAAAUAACCAUCACCAAACUGAAAAGAAAACCUUUAUAAAAAAACUGGAUUGAUAAAUGACCUUUAGUAGUGGAAAGAUACCAUUCCAAUGAAGCAUGAAUUGAAAGGAUUUCUUCUGAAAGCUAAUUUACAUUUUUCUUUUUUUUUUUUUCAUUUUCAGUGUGUUUUAGCAGGUGUAUUGUUCUACAUGGUUAGUUUCUUUACCUCUUUGAGAAAAAUGGGUCAGCUUGACACAUCUGGAUGAAAGAAUCCGUUAGGUGAUUAUGAUUGAAGACAGAUUAAGCCUUGUUAUGAGGGGAAUAUUUGGGGGCUUACCCUGAGGUGAUAUUUGAUGAUUUAGCUGUGGGAGAAUUUCCCUCCCAAGAUCAGCGUGACUGACACUGAAAUUGCUACAGGGGAACCGGACCUUUCCAAGAGGUGACAAGGACAUUUACCUGGUACAACACAAUGGUUCUGGACUGGAAGUCUAGUCCCAUUGAUGAAGUUCCCAAAAGAUGUCCAGGUCCUAAUCCCUGGAAUCUGUGAAUAUGUCAUCUUACACAUCAAAAGAACUUUGAAAAUGUGAUUGAGGUUAAGGACCUUGGAAUGAGGAGAUUACCUUGGAUUAUCUGGUUGGGUCCAAGCUAAUCACAUGAGUCCUUAAAGGAGAAGAACCUUUUUUAGCUGGGUCAGAGAGAGAUGUGAUGAUGAAAACAGGCUCAGGGAGAUGCACUGUAAGAAGGGCUUGACCAGUUGUUUUUGACUUUGAAGAUGGAGGGAAGGGCCAGGAGCCAAGGAAGGUGGGUGGCUUUUGGAAGGUGGAAAAAGCAAGGGAACAUUCUCUCCAGAGCCUCCAGAAAGGAGCUCAGCCCUGUUGACAUCUUUGUUUUUAUUUUUUAUUUUUAGUAGCAUUGAGGUCUCACUAUGUUGCACAGGCUGGUCUUGAACUCUUGAGCUCAAGCACUCCUCCCGCCUUGGCUUCCCAAAGUGCUGGGAUUAUAGGCAUGUGCCACCACAUCUGGCUUCCUACUGACAUCUUAACUUUAGUGCAGUGAGACUCAUAUUUGAAUUUCUGACCUUAUAUUAUAGAACCAUAAGACAUUAUAGAAUUAUAUAGAAUUAUAGAACCAUAAGACAAUAACUUUGUGUUGUUUUAAGAUACUAAAUUUUUGGUAAUUUGUUAUGGCAGCACAAUAAAACCAAUAUAGCAUUAUAUUAUGCCAAUAUCAUCUCUUUGUUGACUAUUGCUAUUAUAGUUUGUUUUAUGGGUCUUGUGUAAACAAUCAAGCUAUAAUAUUGGGUUAACUCCCUAAGGAAAACUUGGAAUAUAGAACAUUAUUUUAAAGACUGAAUUAGGUAAAUACACCUGCCAGUGAAUACAUUAACAAAUUAAUUAAUAUAUUCACUCUUUUCACUCACAAAUACUUUUUGAGCCCCUAUUACUAGCCAAACAUUUUGUUAGAUUCUGAGAAGGGUCUGCUAGACAACAUUGUGACUAUAGUUAAUAACAAUAUAUUGUACUCUUGAAAAUUACUAAGAGAGUAGAUUUUAAGUGUUCUCACCACAAAAAAUAAGUAUGUGAGGUAAUGCAGAUGUUAGUUAGCUUGAUUUAGCCAUUCCCCAGUGUAUACAUAUUUCAAACCUUCAUAUUAUACAUGGAUAAAUAUAUACAAUUUUUAUUUGUCAAUUAAAAGCCCCUCGAUGAAUACAGUUUCCAUUCUGUCCUUGAGGUGGAGCUUGUAGACUUGGUGGGGUCCGGGGAUCAACUUUUAAACAGGCAGUUCCAAAGUGUGGAGUGGAUAGGCUUAUUCUCUUUGUUGCUUUUAUGAUAGGUAUUUAGAAUGCACUUUCCUCUGUUAAGUUAAGCCAGCCACCAUUCCCUCAUUCAGUUUCCAUCCUCCAUGAAUUUGCUCACAUCUGCGGUCUACUGUCACUCAUUCUUUCCUUCUCUUCCUGAGGGCUUGUGUGACUUAUGUUCUUGGCUUUCUCUUAGGAACAUGGUGCAGCUUGGCCCUGCAUUAUCCAUCUGGAAAAACAGAUCAUAAAACAGUCCUUCUCUGUACUAAGUGCUAAAGUAGGAGGAAGGGCAUAAGUCAGCUCCCUGAGCUAUAUAUCCUUGUUUUCAGGAGCUGAGCUAGACACAAGCAGAACUUGCAAAUAAUUUACAUUUCUUUCUGCUGAGGUGGUUCAGAAUAAGUUGCAACAAACAUGAACAGGAAUGGUGCAGUAAAU